rnacentral:rRNA from 1 species
GAUGAACGCUGGCGGCGUGCCUAAUACAUGCAAGUCGAGCGAACAGAUGAGGAGCUUGCUCCUCUGACGUUAGCGGCGGACGGGUGAGUAACAUGUGGAUAACCUACCUAUAAGACUGGGAUAACUUCGGGAAACCGGAGAUAAUACCGGAUAAUAUAUUGAACCGCAUGGUUCAAUAGUGAAAGACGGUUUUGCUGUCACUUCUCGAUGGAUCCGCGCUGCAUUAGCUAGUUGGUAAGGUAACGGCUUAUCAAGGCAACGAUGCGUAGCCGACCUGAGAGGGGGAGCGGCCACACUGGAACGGAGACACGGUCCAGACUCCUACGGGAGGCAGCAGUAGGGAAUCUUCCGCAAUGGGCGAAAGCCUGACGGAGCAACGCCGCGUGAGUGAUGAAGGUCUUCGGAUCGUAAAACUCUGUUAUUAGGGAAGAACAAAUGUGUAAGUAACUAUGCACGUCUUGACGGUACCUAAACAGAAAGCCACGGCUAACUACG